GAUGAACGCUGGCGGCGUGCCUAAUACAUGCAAGUCGAGCGAACAGACGAGGAGCUUGCUCCUCUGACGUUAGCGGCGGACGGGUGAGUAACACGUGGAUAACCUACCUAUAUGACUGGGAUAACUUCGGGAAUCCGGCGCUAAUACCGGAUAAUCUCUUGAACCGCAUGGUUCAAUAGUGAAAGUCGGUUUUGCUGUCACUUAUAGAUGGAUCUGCGCUGCAUUAGCUAGUUGUUACGGUAACGGGUUACCAAGGGGACGAGGCGUAGCCGACCUGAGAGAGUGGUCGGCCACACUGGAGGUGAGACAGGGUCAAUGCGCCUACGGGAGGCAGCAGUAGGGAAUCUUACGCAAUGGGCGGAAGCCUGACGGAGCAACGCCGCGUGAGUGAUGAAGGUCUUCGGAUCGUAAAACUCUGUUAUUAGGGAAGAACAAAUGUGUAAGUAACUAUGCACGUCUUGACGGUACCUAGUCAGAAAGCCACGGCUAACUACGUG
rnacentral:rRNA from 1 species